UCCUACCAUAUAAACGGGCAACAAAUUAAUUUCAACUUACUCAAAUAACUUCAUUAAAUAGGACAUUAAAAAAGAACCCUUUUCACGGCAAAGAUUGAACAGCAAGUUCCUCAAGGUUUGGGUGCGAAAAUCUGAGCCGAAAAAACCUGUAGACAACGAGAUAACCAACGAAAUAAAUUAUGAAGAUGACAACUUUAAAAACCGACCAUAUUUACCCAUUCGACAGAACAGAUCUCCACUUCGCUCCACACUAGACACAUGGAGGGCAAUCUCUGGUGGCCAAAGAGGACGCUGGACACCGAGGAUCGUCGCCACGGAUAUGUCAGGAGGGUCCUAGCAGCACCGAAGAGGACCACUGGACAUCGGGGAUCAUCGCGGGAGCAACUAGAUCGUCGCCACGGAUAUGUCAGGAGGGCCCCAGCAACACCGAAGAGGACCACUGGACAUCGGGGAUCAUCGCGGGAGUAACUAGAUCGUCGCCACGGAUAUGCCAGGUAUAUGUUUUAUAAAUUUAAGUGUCUAAACAUGGUUUUUUUUAAAUGUAUUUAGGAGGGUCCUAGCAGCACCGAAGAGGACCACUGGAUAUCGGGGAUCAUCGCGGGAGCAACUAGAUCGUCGCCACGGAUAUGUCAGGAGGGCCCCAGCAACACCGAAGAGGACCACUGGACAUCGGGGAUCAUCGCGGGAGUAACUAGAUCGUCGCCACGGAUAUGCCAGGUAUAUGUUUUAUAAAUUUAAGUGUCUAAACAUGUUUUUUUUUAUGUAUUUAGGAGGGUCCCAGCAGCACCGAAGAGGACCACUGGACAUCGGGGAUCAUCGCGGGAGCAAUUAGAUCGUCGCCACCGAUAUGCCAGAAGGGCCCCAGCAACACCAAAGAGGACCACUGGACAUCGGGGAUCAUCGCGGGAGCAACUAGAUCGUCGCCACGGAUAUGCCAGGAGGGCCCCAGCAACACCGAAGAGGACCACUGGACAUUGGGGAUCAUAGCGGGAGCAACUAGAUCGUCG